rnacentral:rRNA from 1 species
CUUAGGCGUGUGACUGCGUACCUUUUGUAUAAUGGGUCAGCGACUUAUAUUCUGUAGCAAGGUUAACCGAAUAGGGGAGCCGAAGGGAAACCGAGUCUUAACUGGGCGUUAAGUUGCAGGGUAUAGACCCGAAACCCGGUGAUCUAGCCAUGGGCAGGUUGAAGGUUGGGUAACACUAACUGGAGGACCGAACCGACUAAUGUUGAAAAAUUAGCGGAUGACUUGUGGCUGGGGGUGAAAGGCCAAUCAAACCGGGAGAUAGCUGGUUCUCCCCGAAAGCUAUUUAGGUAGCGCCUCGUGAAUUCAUCUCCGGGGGUAGAGCACUGUUUCGGCAAGGGGGUCAUCCCGACUUACCAACCCGAUGCAAACUGCGAAUACCGGAGAAUGUUAUCACGGGAGACACACGGCGGGUGCUAACGUCCGUCGUGAAGAGGGAAACAACCCAGACCGCCAGCUAAGGUCCCAAAGUCAUGGUUAAGUGGGAAACGAUGUGGGAAGGCCCAGACAGCCAGGAUGUUGGCUUAGAAGCAGCCAUCAUUUAAAGAAAGCGUAAUAGCUCACUGGUCGAGUCGGCCUGCGCGGAAGAUGUAACGGGGCUAAACCAUGCACCGAAGCUGCGGCAGCGACGCUGAUGCGUUGUUGGGUAGGGGAGCGUUCUGUAAGCCUG